CGUUGUCGGAUGUAAUCAUUAACUCAGCUGGAGCUGAGCGAGGAGCCAAUGGGGAAGCGGGAAGUGUCACAGUGCAAACAAACUUUUUUUUUCCUCGAUAUAUCUUUGGUGAGCUUCUCAACCGCCACACUUCCUGCUCGAAAUUAAACUACACUCCAGUGGCCUGUCCGGCGUCAUUGAAGAAGUAUUGAAAUCAUUUUUGUCCAGUCAGAGAAGCCGCCGCAGACAUGGUAGGAAGUGCAACCGUGAACUCUGCAGGCAGGUGGAGGGAGAGACGCAGAGUGCAGCAAAACGGCAAACAUACACAAGAGAGAGAAGACAAAUAAGUUAGAUGUGAAGCGAGCGUCCAACCAC